AUUGAACGCUGGCGGCAUGCCUUACACAUGCAAGUCGAACGGUAACGCGGGGCAACCUGGCGACGAGUGGCGAACGGGUGAGCAAUAUAUCGGAACGUGCCCAGUAGUGGGGGAUAGCCCGGCGAAAGCCGGAUUAAUACCGCAUGAGACCUGAGGGUGAAAGCGGGGGAUCGCAAGACCUCGCGCUAUUGGAGCGGCCGAUAUCAGAUUAGCUAGUUGGUGGGGUAAAGGCCUACCAAGGCAACGAUCUGUAGUUGGUCUGAGAGGACGACCAGCCACACUGGGACUGAGACACGGCCCAGACUCCUACGGGAGGCAGCAGUGGGGAAUUUUGGACAAUGGGCGCAAGCCUGAUCCAGCAAUGCCGCGUGCAGGAAGAAGGCCUUCGGGUUGUAAACUGCUUUUGUCAGGGAAGAAAUCUUCUGGGUUAAUACCUCGGGAGGAUGACGGUACCUGAAGAAUAAGCACCGGCUAACUACGUGUCAGCCGCCGCAGUAACAC
rnacentral:rRNA from 1 species